GGGCGGUUGGCGGAAUGGCAGACGCAGCGGACUUAAAAUCCGCCGGGGAAACCCGUGAGGGUUCGAAUCCCUCCCCGCCCACCA
rnacentral:tRNA from 1 species